rnacentral:rRNA from 1 species
GACGAACGCUGGCGGCGUGCUUAACACAUGCAAGUCGAACGAAGUGGCGAACGGGUGAGUAACGCGUAAUCCACCUGCCCUUCAGAGGGGGACAACAGUAGGAAACGACUGCUAAUACCGCAUACUGAAGGAGGGGAUUGCGUCUGAUUAGCUAGUUGGAGGGGUAACGGCCCACCAAGGCGAGGAUCAGUAGCCGGUCUGAGAGGAUGAACGGCCACAUUGGGACUGAGACACGGCCCAGACUCCUACGGGAGGCAGCAGUAGGGAAUCGUCCGCAAUGGGCGCAAGCCUGACGGAGCAACGCCGCGUGAGUGAAGAAGGUUUUCGGAUCGUAAAGCACUGUUGUCAGAGAAGCGGUAUCUAACCAGAAAGCCACGGCUAACUACGUGCCAGCAGCCGCGGUAAUAC